rnacentral:misc_RNA from 1 species
UAAAUAAGUGUUUUAUGGCACUUUUUAAAUCCAUAUCCACCUUGUGUGGCAAUGUCAGUCGAUCUUCUUCAUGGAGAUCGACCAAACAUCAACCUUUAUUUUUUAACUCUUUGUCUGAAAAAUAUGUAUGAAUAAACAAUUCAAAAAUA